AUUGAUUUUAUGCUUGCAUAAAUGAUUUUUGGAUUCGGAGCGAGUGGCGAACUGGUGAGUAACACGUGGGUAACCUGCCCCGAAGUGGGGGAUAACAUUUGGAAACAAGUGCUAAUACCGCAUAAUUAGUUGGAACCGCAUGGUUCCAACUUGAAAGAUGGCUCUGCUAUCACUUUGGGAUGGACCCGCGCCGUAUUAGUUAGUUGGUGAGAUAAAAGCCCACCAAGACGAUGAUACGUAGCCGACCUGAGAGGGUAAUCGGCCACAUUGGGACUGAGACACGGCCCAGACUCCUACGGGAGGCAGCAGUAGGGAAUCUUCCACAAUGGACGAAAGUCUGAUGGAGCAACGCCGCGUGAGUGAUGAAGGUUUUCGGAUCGUAAAACUCUGUUGUUAAAGAAGAACAAGUGUUAGAGUAACUGUUAACACUUUGACGGUAUUUAACCAGAAAGCCACGGCUAACUACGUGCCAGCAGCCGCGGUAAUACGUAGGUGGCAAGCGCUGUCCGGAUUUAUUGGGCGUAAAGCGAGCGCAGGCGGUUUUGUAAGUCUGCUGUGAAAGCCCUCAGCUCAACUGAGGAAGUGCAGUGGAAACUACAAAACUUGAGUGCAGAAGGGGAAAGUGGAGCUCCAUGUGUAGCGGUGAAAUGCGUAGAUAUAUGGAAGAACACCAGUGGCGAAGGCGGCUUUCUGGUCUGUUACUGACGCUGAGGCUCGAAAGCAUGGGUAGUGAACGGGAUUAGAUACCCUGGUAGUCCAUGCCGUAAACGAUGAAUACUAGGUGUUGGAGGGUUUCCGCCCUUCAGUGCCGCAGCUAACGCAUUAAGUAUUCCGCCUGGGGAGUACGACCGCAAGGUUGAAACUCAAAGGAAUUGACGGGGGCCCGCACAAGUGGUGGAGCAUGUGGUUUAAUUCGAUGCUACGCGAAGAACCUUACCAGCUCUUGACAUCUUCUGCCAACCCAAGAGAUUGGGCGUUCCCUUCGGGGACAGAAUGACAGGUGGUGCAUGGUUGUCGUCAGCUCGUGUCGUGAGAUGUUGGGUUAAGUCCCGCAACGAGCGCAACCCUUAUUAUUAGUUGCCAGCAUUUAGUUGGGCACUCUAGUGAGACUGCCGGUGAUAAA
rnacentral:rRNA from 1 species